UCUCCGUUGGUGAACCAGCGGAGGGAUCAUUACAGAGUUUUCACAACCCCCAACCCUUGCGAACCGUACCCAUUCUGUUCUCGUUGCUUCCGGCGGGGGGGACGUGGGGGCCCGCAACGACCUCCCCGCCCCCCCCGCCGGCGGCGGCUGGCCCCACGUACUUUUAUUUCUCAACUAACACAAACCGACUAGUAAAACCAACCAAAAAAUCAAAACUUUCAACAACGGCUCACUUAGCUCUCGCCUCGAUGAAAAACCCCACCGAUCGGCAGCACACAC
rnacentral:misc_RNA from 1 species